rnacentral:rRNA from 1 species
UGUGAAUCAUCGAAUCUUUAGAACGCACAUUGCGCCCUAUGGUAUUCCAUAGGGCAUGCCUGUUUGAGCGUCAUUUCUCUCUCAAAUCUUCGGAUUUGGUUUUGAGUGAUACUCUUAGUCAGACUAAGCGUUUGCUUGAAAUGUAUUGGCAUGAGUGGUACUAGAUAGUGCUGAACUGUUUCAAUGUAUUAGGUUUAUCCAACUCGUUGACCAGUAUAGUAUUUGUUUAUUACACAGGCUCGGCCUUACAACAACAAACAAAGUUUGACCUCAAAUCAGGUAGGACUACCCGCUGAACUUAAGCUUAUCAAUAAGCGGAAUC